rnacentral:lncRNA from 1 species
UUGGACUGUCCUAUACAAGGACCCAUAUAUAGAGUGUGAUCAUAGAAUCAUGUGCUCAUAGAUCACAGAGUCUGUGUUUUUGGACCGGUCUAUUCUUAAUGGCUGUGGGGAAAUAAGGCAACUUACUCAACUUCAUCAGUGGCCUUACUAAAGUGGUAGAAAAAAUUUCUAUUUUAGAGUUUAAACUUUAGCCAAAAGCUUGUUACUUAAAAGCCAAAAAACAAACCAAAAAAAGCUUAAAUACUUUGACACUGUUUUUAUUUUUCAGCUCUAUGCAACUCAUUUUCAUCUAGCAGUACGUCUCCAAAACCUGAAUCUUCACAAGAAAGCCGUACAGCAAUUAACCAGUGUUGCAAGGAUUGCCUCUGUAAUAAAGGUGAGAAGACAAAUUGACGCAACCCUCUUGAAAAGCAAUCUGGCAAUAUGAACCAAGAGCCGUGAAAAGGCUUAUGCUAUUGUAAUUAGUAAGUCAAUUUAUAGAAAUUUGUUUUUUAAAAGCAAGGUAAAAUAAGGGAAAACCCUUUUGGGAAAGAUGUUCAUUGCAAUAUUGUCUACAACAGGAAAAA